AACGAACGCUGGCGGCAUGCCUAACACAUGCAAGUCGAACGAGACCUUCGGGUCUAGUUGCGCACGUGUGCGUAACGCGUGGGAACCUGCCCUUAGGUUCGUAAUAACUCCCCGAAAGGGGUGCUAAUACCGGAUAAUGUCUUCGGACCAAAGGUUUAUCGCCUUUGGAUGGGCCUGCGUUGGAUUAGCUAGUUGGUAGGGUAAAAGCCUACCAAGGCGACGAUCCAUAGCUGGUCUGAGAGGAUGAUCAGCCACACUGGGACUGAGACACGGCCCAGACUCCUACGGGAGGCAGCAGUGGGGAAUAUUGGACAAUGGGCGAAAGCCUGAUCCAGCAAUGCCGCGUGAGUGAUGAAGGCCUUAGGGUUGUAAAGCUCUUUUAACCGGGAUGAUAAUGACAGUACCGGGAGAAUAAGCUCCGGCUAACUCCGUG
rnacentral:rRNA from 1 species